CCUACGGGGGGCUGCAGUGGGGAAUAUUGGACAAUGGGCGAAAGCCUGAUCCAGCCAUGCCGCGUGUGUGAAGAAGGCCUUCGGGUUGUAAAGCACUUUCAGUGGGGAGGAAAGCCUUGUGGCUAAUACCCUCGAGGAAGGACAUCACCCACAGAAGAAGCACCGGCUAACUCCGUGCCAGCAGCCGCGGUAAUACGGAGGGUGCGAGCGUUAAUCGGAAUUACUGGGCGUAAAGCGCGCGUAGGCGGUCUGAUAAGCCGGUUGUGAAAGCCCCGGGCUCAACCUGGGAACGGCAUCCGGAACUGUCAGGCUAGAGUGCAGGAGAGGAAGGUAGAAUUCCCGGUGUAGCGGUGAAAUGCGUAGAGAUCGGGAGGAAUACCAGUGGCGAAGGCGGCCUUCUGGACUGACACUGACGCUGAGGUGCGAAAGCGUGGGUAGCAAACAGGAUUAGAUACCCUUGUAGUC
rnacentral:rRNA from 1 species